CGAACCGCGACGGGAGAGCUCGGCGGACCUGGCAGCAGGGCCGUCGGCGCCGAAGGAGCAAACCCUCCCCGGGAAUCUCUCAGGCCCCCGUACCGCCGCGGUGAG
rnacentral:ncRNA from 2 species